GUGGAAUCUGCUGUGAAUCUGCCGGGACCACCCGGUAAGCCUAAAUACUUCUCGAUGACCGAUAGCGGAUUAGUACCGUGAGGGAAUGGUGAAAAGUACCCCGGGAGGGGAGUGAAAUAGUACCUGAAACCGUGUGCCUACAAUCCGUCAGAGCCUCCUUGUGGGGUGAUGGCGUGCCUUUUGAAGAAUGAGCCUGCGAGUCAGGGACACGUCGCGAGGUUAACCCGUGCGGGGUAGCCGCAGCGAAAGCG
rnacentral:rRNA from 1 species